rnacentral:rRNA from 10 species
UUAAAUUGAAGAGUUUGAUCAUGGCUCAGAUUGAACGCUGGCGGCAGGCCUAACACAUGCAAGUCGAACGGUAACAGGAAGCAGCUUGCUGCUUUGCUGACGAGUGGCGGACGGGUGAGUAAUGUCUGGGAAACUGCCUGAUGGAGGGGGAUAACUAC